CACAGAGGCAGAAUCUGUAAUAGCAUAUGGA
rnacentral:piRNA from 1 species